GUCAGUCGGGUCCGGCGGGGCAGAAGCCGCCGGGUGUGGAGCGUCUCAAAGACAGUGGAGCUCAAUUUAAAGCUGGUCAGCUGCGGAAUUCAUGUUUGGAAGCUUUUCAAGCCUUAUUCACUGUUUUACAAACGCUGCACGGGUUUCAUCAAGCUUCUGAAAAGACGGACCAGUAUGAGUUACCGGCGCGGCAGUCCGUCACGCGUCCAUCGUCACCAUGACAACAUGCCGUCCCGGUCCAACUGCCACGUGACUGUCAUCGCCAAUCCGAGCUGCCCGCUCAAUUCGGGGUCAGGAAGUGGUCGGGAGGAGGCGGCCGGUCCAAGCGCAUCAUCCAUGUCGUCAUCACGGUCCGACCCCAGCCUGGCGCAGGCACCACCGGGCUACGAGCCUGACCUGACCCGGGCGCCUCCAGGCUUCGAGAACCGAGCUCUGGCACCCAACGCAAACCGAAACCAGCUCUACCUAGUGCCCAGGCUUCUAUGUUGUGGCACCACAAACUGCCUGCAUAGCAUCCUGUUCUGCUACUACGGCAUCCAGCCGUUCCUAGACAACGCACAGGUGCAACUGGGCGAGGCCGCGCCCCGCCAGGCAGGCCCGAGCGGGGGCCGCGCGCGCAGUCAGGGCCGCAGAAGGAGCACCCGGUCAGCGAUGCAGGGAGCCUCCCGGACUCAGGCCCGCAUCGGCACAGGGCGGGCUCUCCGCUCUCGACGGGCGCCCGCGGCGACGGCGACAGCGACGGCUCCUGAGCGUGCCCUGCUGCCAAUGCAAGCACCAGCACCAGCACCAGCACCAGCGCCAGCACCAGCGCCAGCUCGCGAUGCAACGUCCGUGCCAGCUCUGUCUCUAGUGUUAGCUCCAACUCCAGCUCCGCCUCCGGCCCCAACUGCGGUCCCAGCGCUAGACCGAGCACCAGCUUCGGCGCCAACUCUGGCGCUAACCCGAGCGCCAGCUCCAGCUCCAGCUUCAGCGCCGACGCGAACGGAGCAGCCGCC